AUAGAUACAGCCCGGUAGAUAUUGUGGGUCGGUGGGAAGGAACGGGGUAGAGGGUUUAGCCUUUCUCAUGGAGCAACCGCAAACCUAGGGGCUCCGCUAGGUCAGUCCCUCUCCGAAAGACCUGAAAGAUAGCGGGUCCGGCCGGGAGGAGGGGAGGCAGGGGGAUGGUAUUUGCGCCAAUGCAGACAGAAUAGACGGGCUCAGACACGGCUGGGGCAGGAGAGUGACCGACCGUUUUUUCUCCUCAGCCACACGCGCCUUUCCCCCUCAUCCUGGUCUGGGGGCGUCCUCAGAGGCGGGCGGCGGGGGGCUGACGGCGACUCCCGAAUCCCCGCCGGGCGGCCAGGUACACUGUUCCACACUUGCACCAACCACCCCAAAAUAAAAGUACACCAAGCUCAAUUUGUGUUGCCAACUACUCACUGAAACAUGAUCUAACUCUUACUGACCAGCCUCUUAAAGAAAACAGAGUCCUUCCCAACCUGGACCAGAAACCAUUAACUCCGAAGAGCUUCACUUCAGCAUCUUUAUCACUAUCUAACUGUCUUUGGAACAAGUGGUGGAACUCUCAGCUCCUCCAGUCUCAUGCCUGCCUGAACAUUGCCAUGCUCCCACCUUGAUGAUAAUCGACUGAACCUUGGAACCUGUAAGCCACCCCAAUUAAAUGUUGUA